UUUCUAUAUAUAUGUGGUGUCACAGCCGCGGUAAUCCAGCUCCAAUAGCGUAUGUUAAAGUUGUUGCAGUUAAAAAGCUCGUAGUUGAACCUCGCCGCCGGCUCCGGGUCCCCCUCACGGGGUGUACUCGUCGCUUGCGGCUUUGCUCUACUAGUGUGUGCGUUCGCGUGCACUCAUAGUGGAGCGUUUACUGUGAGAAAAUUAGAGUGUUCAAAGCAGGCGUUUCGCUCGAAUACGUUAGCAUGGAAUAAUAGAAUAGGACGAAGGUUCUAUUUUGUUGGUUCUAGGACCGUCGUAAUGAUUAAUAGGGAUGGUCGGGGGCAUCAGUAUUCAGUAGUAAGAGGUGAAAUUCUUGGAUUUACUGAAGACUAACUGCUGCGAAAGCGUUUGCCAAGGACAUCUUCAUUAAUCAAGAACGAAAGUUAGGGGAUCGAAGACGCUUAGAUACCGUCGUAGUCUUAACCGUAAACUAUGCCGACUCUGAAUCGGCCCCUUGAAUUGAUGGGGGGUCGGCGCAGUGUGAGAAAUCAAAGUUUUUAGGUUCUGGGGGGAGUAUGGUCGCAAGGCUGAAACUUAAAGGAAUUGACGGAAGGGCACCACCAGGAGUGGAGCCUGCGGCUUAAUUUGACUCAACACGGGGAAACUCACCAGGUCCAGACUUCUGUAGGAUUGACGCAUUGGCGAUGCUUCAUGAUUAGAAGGGUGGUGGUGCAUGGCCGUUCUUAGUUCGUGACGUAAGUUGUCUGCCUUAUCGCGAUAACGAGCGAGACCUCGGCCGCUAGUUGCUGAAACUCACAUUUUGUGGGUCUUCGGCUCUUAGCGGGACUACCGGAGACAAUUCGGGGGAGGUUCGAGGCAUACAGCUUUGUGAGUAGACACA
rnacentral:rRNA from 1 species